rnacentral:rRNA from 1 species
AGAACGAACGCUGGCGGCAUGCCUAAUACAUGCAAGUCGAACGAACACUUCGGUGUUAGUGGCGCACGGGUGCGUAACGCGUGGGAAUCUGCCCUUGGGUUCGGAAUAACAGUUGGAAGCGACUGCUAAUACCGGAUGAUGACGAAAGUCCAAAGAUUUAUCGCCCAGGGAUGAGCCCGCGUAGGAUUAGCUAGUUGGUGAGGUAAGGCUCACCAAGGCGACGAUCCUUAGCUGGUCUGAGAGGAUGAUCAGCCACACUGGGACUGAGACACGGCCCAGACCUCCGUACGGGGAGCAGCAGGUAAGGGAAUAGUUGGAACAAGUGGGCGACAAGCCUAGAUCCAAGCAAGCGCCG